AACGAACGCUGGCGGCGCGCCUAAUACAUGCAAGUCGAGCGAGAAGACGUAGCAAUACGUUUGUAAAGCGGCGAACGGGUGAGGAAUACAUGGGUAACCUACCCUCGAGUGGGGAAUAACUAGCCGAAAGGUUAGCUAAUACCGCGUACGCUCCUUGGACUUCGGUUCAGGGAGGAAAGCGAUACCGUGGGUAUCGCGCUCUUGGAUGGGCUCAUGUCCUAUCAGCUUGUUGGUGAGGAACGGCUCACCAAGGCUUCGACGGGUAGCUGGUCUGAGAGGACGAUCAGCCACACUGGCACUGCGACACGGGCCAGACUCCUACGGGAGGCAGCAGUAAGGAAUAUUGCGCAAUGGGCGAAAGCCUGACGCAGCGACGCCGCGUGGGGGAUGAAGGUCUUCGGAUUGUAAACCCCUUUCGGGAGGGAAGAUGGAACGAGCAAUCGUUCGGACGGUACCUCCAGAAGCAGCCACGGCUAACUUCGUGCCAGCCGCCGCGGUAAC
rnacentral:rRNA from 1 species